rnacentral:ncRNA from 1 species
GUGGAGAUAAAAACACAGAUUCGGUUGGUAGUCCGAACCUAUUAAUUUUAUAGCAGUAACCUGCCCUCCUGGGGUUGUCCGUUCUUCAUUA